UUCCCAACCCCACCCAGGCAGGCAUUGCCACCAAGAAAUAACUCCGUCUCCCACGUCCCGAGGCCCAGUGGUCACACCCUGUGAUUUGCGUGUCUGGUCUCCUCCGCACGGAAAGCCCCCUCCCUACCCCUUCGCAGCCUCUCCCCCAGGUAAGCCCAGAUCACCCAGUUCAGUCCCCUCCCCUACCGCUCUGGGCACUGCUGGUUUGUCCUGUCAUUCCCACAGCCCGGAAUUCACACUGUAAGCGCUUCUCUGGGGAAGGACUUGGGACCCAGAAGUAAGGCCACCACUUUCAAGCCCCCACCGUGAUUCCCAGGACUGGAACGGAAGGUGUGACUCCGGAGCCAGGGAUCCCUGGGGCCACGGUCGGCGGGUGGGCGGGGGGAGAGUUGGGGACUCUAAGGACCCCUGGGUCCUGUGGUUGGGUCCCGCGUCCCUCCCGGAGGUCGGGGAGCAGACCCCGAGAAGCGACCAGGAAACUCAAGUACUACAGGUCUGCACAGUGAUUCUCAGAGAGGAUUCUCAGGAACUCAGAAUCCCGUUAUCGUACAUCAGCCGGCCAGGCUAUGCUGGUCUACCGCUGCCAAAAUCAAAUGCCAAGAUCAAGGAGGAACUUUUCCGGGGAGGGAAUGAGGCAGGCACCUCCAGAGCGCCCCCCCCCCCCAACAAUCCUAACAUUGAAACAGGGUGGAGCAGCCCCUCCUGGUCCCUCAGUGAGGCGACAGGAGGCUUGCUGCACCCGCUGUAAAUCUCACAGUCCACCCCUUCGCUGCAAAAUAAGAAUCGGAAUCUGAUCAAGUCUCCGGGGUGAGCGCCAGCUUCCAGAAAACAGGAGGAUAGAGUUGCCCCGUGAAUGGACACCAUGAGGGCAUCAGGAGCCAAAUCCAGAGUGUGGGACUGUCUACAGGACCACGUGACCUGGUUUCCCUGACUUUGGAGAAAAAGAAAAAGAUGAAGAAGCAAGGGGAGCCUUAUAAUAUAUGCAGAGCAGAUCUUGGGCUCAGAAAUGUAUAAAUGGAUUUUUUUUUAACCUAUAUGGAUGUCUGACCAGAUAUCCGAAAGUCACCAGGCCACCCAGGCGCCCCUGUUCUAUGUCAUCUUUAGCAGUGUUGAUCCUCAGUCACUAAGUGCUGCAGUAACAUCAGACAACCACUGUGACAACUAUAAAUUCCUCCUAGAUGCCCAGAAUGCCCCCAGGACAGUACUCCCCAAGAGGAUAGCCUUGUACCCCGUCAGCAGGACCAGCAGCUGGUAAAUGCUUAGCAACCAGCUCUGGGCUGGCGGGCGUGGGGGUGGUGGGAAUCCCUGCUAAGUAGUGUUUGCCAAUUUCCACAGUGUAAAGAUCACACACCCCCACCCCGUCUUCCUCCUGCCCAUUCAUCUUCGGUGUUUCUGAUUGGAGCGUGGGCACACCUCCAACAUACUGGGGGUCAGGUUCUGGACAACCACUGUAAAGUAAAUAUCGUGGGUGCCUGGGGGGCUCAGCUGGUCAAGCGGCUGCCUUUGGCUCAGGUCAUGAUCCUGGGAUUCUGGGAUCAAGCCUCAGUGGGGAUUCUACUUCUCCCUCUCCGCCAUCCCUCUCCCCUUCUCAUUCUCUUUCACAUGCUCUCUCUCUCUCUCAACUAAAUAAAUAAAAUCUUAAUAUAUACAAAAAGUUACUCACCUUAAUUAAAAAAUGCUUUAUGGGGGCGUCUGGGUGGCUCAGUGGGUUAGGCCUCUGCCUUCGGCACAGGUCAUGAUCUCAGGGUCC